GAGUAACGCGUAUGCGACCUGCCCGUUGCAGGGCGAUAAUCGGGAGAAAUCCCGUCUAAUACCGCGUAAUGCCGCGGGGCUGCAUGGCCCUGCGACCAAAGGAAGCGAUUCCGGCAACGGAUGGGCAUGCGUGACAUUAGCUAGUUGGCGGGGCAACGGCCCACCAAGGCGACGAUGUCUAGGGGUUCUGAGAGGAAGGUCCCCCACACUGGUACUGAGACACGGACCAGACUCCUACGGGAGGCAGCAGUGAGGAAUAUUGGUCAAUGGGCGCGAGCCUGAACCAGCCAAGUCGCGUGAGGAUGACGGCCCUACGGGUUGUAAACCUCUUUUGUCGGGGAGCAAAUUCCGCCACGUGUGGCGGGGUCGAGAGUACCCGAAGAAAAAGCAUCGGCUAACUCCGUGCCAGCAGCCGCGGUAAUACGGAGGAUGCGAGCGUUAUCCGGAUUUAUUGGGUUUAAAGGGUGCGUAGGCGGACUGUCAAGUCAGCGGUAAAAUACGGGGGCUCAACCUCCGCCCGCCGUUGAAACUGACGGUCUUGAGUGGGCGAGAAGUACGCGGAAUGCGUGGUGUAGCGGUGAAAUGCAUAGAUAUCACGCAGAACUCCGAUUGCGAAGGCAGCGUACCGGCGCCCAACUGACGCUGAAGCACGAAGGCGUGGGUAUCGAACAGGAUUAGAUACCCUGGUAGUCCACGCAGUAAACGAUGAAUGCUAGUUGUCCGGGGCGAUUG
rnacentral:rRNA from 1 species